GGCAGGAGGAAACAAAAUGAACGGAGUUCAUUUUCUUAUAAAUGUUUCCGACGUUUAGCCGCUGACCGAAGGGAGGGGCAAUACAAAGA
rfam:Eubacterium sp. CAG:156 genomic scaffold, scf81